CGGAGGGGCUAGCGUUGUUCGGAAUACUGGGCGUAAAGCGCACGUAGGCGGCUCAGCAAGUCAGAGGUGAAAUCCCAGGGCUCAACCCUGGAACUGCCUUUGAAACUGCUAGGCUAGAAUCUUGGAGAGGUCAGUGGAAUUCCGAGUGUAGAGGUGAAAUUCGUAGAUAUUCGGAAGAACACCAGUGGCGAAGGCGACUGACUGGACAAGUAUUGACGCUGAGGUGCGAAAGCGUGGGAGCAAACAGGAUU
rnacentral:rRNA from 1 species